rnacentral:pre_miRNA from 1 species
CGAUGAUGAUGAUGAUGAUGAUGAUGAUGAUGAUGAUGAUAUCAUCAUCAUCAUCAUCAUCAUUAUCUUUAUUU